GCUUAACACAUGCAAGUCGAACGGGAAUUACUUUAUUGAAACUUCGGUCGAUUUAAUUUAAUUCUAGUGGCGGACGGGUGAGUAACGCGUGGGUAACCUGCCUUAUACAGGGGGAUAACAGUCAGAAAUGGCUGCUAAUACCGCAUAAGCGCACAGAGCUGCAUGGCUCAGUGUGAAAAACUCCGGUGGUAUAAGAUGGACCCGCGUUGGAUUAGCUAGUUGGUGGGGUAACGGCCCACCAAGGCGACGAUCCAUAGCCGGCCUGAGAGGGUGAACGGCCACAUUGGGACUGAGACACGGCCCAGACUCCUACGGGAGGCAGCAGUGGGGAAUAUUGCACAAUGGGGGAAACCCUGAUGCAGCGACGCCGCGUGAAGGAAGAAGUAUCUCGGUAUGUAAACUUCUAUCAGCAGGGAAGAUAGUGACGGUACCUGACUAAGAAGCCCCGGCUAACUACGUGCCAGCAGCCGCGGUAAUACGUAGGGGGCAAGCGUUAUCCGGAUUUACUGGGUGUAAAGGGAGCGUAGACGGUGUGGCAAGUCUGAUGUGAAAGGCAUGGGCUCAACCUGUGGACUGCAUUGGAAACUGUCAUACUUGAGUGCCGGAGGGGUAAGCGGAAUUCCUAGUGUAGCGGUGAAAUGCGUAGAUAUUAGGAGGAACACCAGUGGCGAAGGCGGCCUACUGG
rnacentral:rRNA from 1 species